rnacentral:rRNA from 1 species
ACGAACGCUGGCGGCAUGCCUAACACAUGCAAGUCGAACGAGACCUUCGGGUCUAGUGGCGCACGGGUGCGUAACGCGUGGGAACCUGCCCUUAGGUUCGGAAUAACUCCCCGAAAGGGGUGCUAAUACCGGAUAAUGUCUUCGGACCAAAGAUUUAUCGCCUUUGGAUGGGCCCGCGUUGGAUUAGCUAGUUGGUAGGGUAAAAGCCUACCAAGGCGACGAUCCAUAGCUGGUCUGAGAGGAUGAUCAGCCACACUGGGACUGAGACACGGCCCAGACUCCUACGGGAGGCAGCAGUGAGGAAUAUUGGACAAUGGGCGAAAGCCUGAUCCAGCAAUGCCGCGUGAGUGAUGAAGGCCUUAGGGUUGUAAAGCUCUUUUACCCGGGAUGAUAAUGACAGUACCGGGAGAAUAAGCUCCGGCUAACUCCGUG